CUAAUUACUAGCUAACAUUAGCGUUAGCUAACAAUGACAUCAAAUGGCCGGCUAGGUUGAAAGAACACGUUUUCUUGUGGACGAAAGAGUGUGAUGCAAAACAUGUCUGAGAAGUCUGGGUGACAAUAUGAUUUUUUUUUUUUAGCUAGCUACUGUCAAUACUUCUGUUGAGCAGAAGCUGCUUUUUUAUUUUAAAAAUCUGCCACUACACAUGAAGACGCAUUUGAAGCAGUUAGGCCAAGUAAAGGAAUAGCGCAUGCUAAACUGCACACAUCACAAGAAUAUAGCCUGCAAGAUGUGGUGAGGGAGGUCGCGGAAUUUAGGAUAACCCGACUGACUGACGUGGAGAACGUGGAGUCACGAUGAACACUACUUCACCUAGGAGACUUGAGUAUCCAGUUCUUCGUUGACCUUCAGCAUUCAGUUGUUUGUCUUCACCUUUUCAGGCUAAAACCGGAGAAGCCAUCACCAUGUUGUUGUUUCACAUCAGAAUAAGUAUUUCACAUGAUGCAGAUUUUUCAGCAUGUGGUCCUCAAUAUAUAGUAUAGAAGUCACUGUAUUUUCUGACUUUUCCAGGUUUCCUGUGUCCAGCAUCUUCAAGACAGACUAAGCUAACUUUUCAUAUUUUUUGCACAUUUAUAUUUAGGUUAGGUUAGGAGUAGGUUAGGUUUAUAGUAGAGUAUUUAGUUUGUAUAGUUUAGCUUUUUAUGCUGGUCUAGGGACAGUUAAGUUAGCAAAUUAAUUUAGUUCAGAUCACUUACAGUUGCAUAUUAUUGUUACAAUUGUGUUAUUUUGUGAGUUAUUGUUGUACAGGCUAUUGUAUAUUGCAGGACCAAGUGAGACGAGGAAGACCAAUGCUUCCAAGAUGCCGCGCUCAUAAAGUGUGUUGGACAAGUCUCGACCUUGCAGAUCCUGCCCCACUUAGCCCAACCACUUCCGACCAUGGGGUACCUCAAAGACCUCCGUCAACCAGCCGGCUGUGGAUGAUGGAUACCCACCCACAACUCCUUCUCCAGUCUACAAGACACCCCCACAGUCCAAGAACAGCUGGAUGACCUCUGGACCCACUUGCCCCCGUUCACCAGUUGAAAAGAUAGGCUUUUUUAAAAAUUCUUCAAUUGUUAAUUCUGCACAAAGUGAUACACAAAGCAUUGUAUGUCUUCCAUUUCAACAAACACAAACAUGAAAUGUAUAUUUAAAUACAUAACUUAAUGCAAAUCAAUCAUACUAAACAUCAUCUUCUUUUUUUUUUAAACCAACCAUUGCACGCACUUCCAUCCAAGGAGAGGUUACAUCUUGAUGUACCUGUGGAUGCUGCCGAUGCUGACUAUGGGUGUCACAUGCAUGCUGUGUGAACCAAUCAUAUGAGGAUUGACAAGGAUCAAACCAGCACUGAGGCAGCACUGAGACACCUAAAACUGUUGGAUGCUGCCGUUUUGCACCUUGUAUUAUUUUUCUUUUUAUUAUGUUGUUUAUUUAUUAUUAUUAUUAUUACUCUAUAGCAAAAACAUUUUGAUUUCUGUAUUUCAUUUCUAUUUUUUCAGUAUUUUACUUGUUUUGCUAGGUAUGUGUUUGAAUAAAUAAAUAAAUAAAAUCCAUGCUUUGGUUUUUAUAGGCAUUUUC